CAGCCGCCGCGGUAAUACGUAUGUCACGAGCGUUAUCCGGAUUUAUUGGGCGUAAAGCGCGUCUAGGUGGUUAUAUAAGUCUGAUGUGAAAAUGCAGGGCUCAACUCUGUAUUGCGUUGGAAACUGUAUAACUAGAGUACUGGAGAGGUAAGCGGAACUACAAGUGUAGAGGUGAAAUUCGUAGAUAUUUGUAGGAAUGCCGAUGGGGAAGCCAGCUUACUGGACAGAUACUGACGCUGAAGCGCGAAAGCGUGGGUAGCAAACAGGAUUAGAUACCCCUGUAGUCCCUGUCUCUUAUACA
rnacentral:rRNA from 1 species